GAUUAUAGAUGAUGCUUAUAUCCACAUGAGCAUAAUUCUCUCUAACAUAAAACCUGAAAAUGAUGGGACUGUUCCCAAAAUUCUCAAGAAUCUCCGUUUAUUCUCUAGAUCCCUCCUAGAACACAGUGAAGGCACUCCUCUUCAUAUUAUGUUUUUAACGGAUGAAAAAUCCAAGUCAGAGAUUAAGAAAGUAAUCCGAGAAGAGAUAGGCCGACAACUCUCAUAUCAUGUGAUCUACCCUUUCUUCAUUCUGACGAAAAACAGGAAAUU